UGCGCGAGUGUGUGUGAUAAGGAGGUGGGGGUGAGAGACCCCGUUGUGUUUUGACCCCCUAAACAACUCCCAGUCUCCAUCUCUCUCUCUCUCUUUCUGGUUUAAAGCUUCAUCGCUCAUUGUGGAGAGACGCAUUUGAGCCCAACGCGUCGCGGAUAGAACGGAAAGAACGCGACAUCAUCUCAAACGCGCCGCUAAUGCUGGAUACUCGGCCCGGCCCACGCUUCUGCUGCUACAUUCUUAUUAAGUUCUCGUAGAGAGUGUGUCUUAUCUGGCGCUCUGGUGUGUGUUGUCAUCCGUCAGUGAGUGUGUGAGCUCGGCUUCCGUAUCGCAUGGAGAAGAGGUAUGAGGAGUUGGUGCACUACCCAGGCUCUGACGCCAUGCCUGUGGGAGACUACAUGAGGUCACUUCCUCCGCCACACUACGGCCACACUGUGCCUGACUCCCUGAAACACCACCGGGACCAGAU